CCUCUACUCCCUCUGUCCCGAAUUAGUAUGAUUUUGUUUAGGUACGGAUGUAUCUAGACACGUUUUAGUGUUAGAUACAUCUGCAUCUAGACAAAUCUAAGACAACUAAUUUAGGAUGGAGGUAAUAUUUG
rnacentral:pre_miRNA from 1 species